UUUUCUGCUACCUUCGAAGGAAAUAAAAAUGGCGAUGGGCGUGUUCAAAAUUUAUCUGUGCCUAAUGCUGAUAUUGCUUCCGCUUCCAAGCUCCCGUGCACGAGUUUCCCAUAUCGUGAACAGAGGGAAGACAACUAGGAUGGUGGUUCGAGCAUUAGGUGAAGACUAUGAAAAGGGAGAUAACAUGCAAGGAAGAAAUUUUGAGCUUACGAGGGCUAGUCCCAGAGGUCCUGAUCCGCAACAUCAUUGAAGUAAUGAGUAAUGGAUCGAUCCAACAAGACAAAUGCCACCUUCUUCUAUAUGCGAAUGGCGUCCUAGGAAGCAUGAGACAAUGCUCUUGCUUUUUUAUUGUCUUUCUGAGUUUUACUAUGUCAUUUUCUAAUGUGAUAUCAUAGUUGGGUUUUGACGUUGAGUUGUUCAUGAUUUAUGGCGCUGGUGGCCUUUUACUGCUGCAAGUUGUUCAACUUCUGCAAAACUGGGAGGGGUACACCUAUAUUAGUUGAUUCCUACGUAACUUGCAGAAGCACUGGCUAGUUUUUUAUGUGCUUGAGUG
rnacentral:lncRNA from 1 species